rnacentral:rRNA from 1 species
UACAGAGAGUGCAAACGUUGUUCGGAAUUACUGGGCUUGAAGCGCACGUAGGCGGCGUUGUAAGUGUCGGGUGAAAUCCCACGGCUCACCCGUGGAACUGCCCGGCAUACUGCGAUGCUAGAGUGUGGUAGGGGAGAGCGGAACUCCUGGUGGAGCGGUGAAAUGCGCAGAUAUCAGGAGGAACACCGGUGGCGAAGGCGGGUCUCUGGGCCGAUACUGACGCUGAGGAGCGAAAGCGUGGGGAGCGAACAGG